GUGAAUCAUCGAAUUUUUGAACGCAAAUUGCACUCUCUCGGGAGAGUAUGACUGUUUGAGGGUCAGCCUAAAAAAAAUAGACAUCGUUGCUGUUUCGCGGUGUCAUCCGUAGGCAACUGGGUCAUCUUAAAUUAUUGGGUUUUAAGUGGCUUAAAAUUUUCUUUACGUUUCCAAGAACGUUACAAAGCUUUACUUCUUACACGUUUUAG
rnacentral:misc_RNA from 1 species